GGUGAACGCUGACAGAAUGCUUAACACAUGCAAGUCAACUUGAACUUCGGUUUGGGUGGCGGACGGGUGAGUAACGCGUAAAGAACUUGCCUCACAGAUAGGGACAACAUUUGGAAACGAAUGCUAAUACCUGAUAUUAUGAUUAUAUGGCAUCGUAUAAUUAUGAAAGCUAUAUGCGCUGUGAGAGAGCUUUGCGUCCCAUUAGCUAGUUGGAGGGGUAACGGCUCACCAAGGCGAUGAUGGGUAGCCGGCCUGAGAGGGUGAUCGGCCACAAGGGGGAAGGGGAAGCGCCCGUACCCCCUACGGAGGGAGGCGUGGGGGAAUUUUGGACACCGGCCCAGAGUGUUAAGCCGGCAUUUCGGUUGGAACGAUAAGUUUUUUGGGAAGAAAAGUUGUUUUAAGUUGGAAAGAAAAAAUGACGGUACCAACAGAAGAGGUGACGGCUAAAUACGUG
rnacentral:rRNA from 1 species